GACGAACGCUGGCGGCGUGCUUAACACAUGCAAGUCGAACGGAAAGGCCCUGCUUUUGUGGGGUGCUCGAGUGGCGAACGGGUGAGUAACACGUGAGUAACCUGCCCUUGACUUUGGGAUAACUUCAGGAAACUGGGGCUAAUACCGGAUAGGAGCUCCUGCUGCAUGGUGGGGGUUGGAAAGUUUCGGCGGUUGGGGAUGGACUCGCGGCUUAUCAGCUUGUUGGUGGGGUAGUGGCUUACCAAGGCUUUGACGGGUAGCCGGCCUGAGAGGGUGACCGGCCACAUUGGGACUGAGAUACGGCCCAGACUCCUACGGGAGGCAGUAGUGGGGAAUAUUGCACAAUGGGCGGAAGCCUGAUGCAGCAACGCCGCGUGCGGGAUGACGGCCUUCGGGUUGUAAACCGCUUUCGCCUGUGACGAAGCGUGAGUGACGGUAAUGGGCAAAGAAGCACCGGCUAACUACGUG
rnacentral:rRNA from 1 species